CCUACGGGAGGCAGCAGUGAGGAAUAUUGGUCAAUGGACGAGAGUCUGAACCAGCCAAGUAGCGUGAAGGAUGACUGCCCUAUGGGUUGUAAACUUCUUUUAUAUGGGAAUAAAAUGUUCCACGUGUGGGAUUUUGUAUGUACCAUAUGAAUAAGGAUCGGCUAACUCCGUGCCAGCAGCCGCGGUAAUACGGAAGGUCCGGGCGUUAUCCGGAUUUAUUGGGUUUAAAGGGAGCGUAGGCCGCAUGUCAAGCUUGCUGUGAAAUGUCCGGGCUCAACCCGGGCCUUGCAGCGCGAACUGGCGUGCUUGAGUCCGCGGAAAGCAGGCGGAAUUCGUCGUGUAGCGGUGAAAUGCGUAGAUAUAUGGAAGAACACCAGUGGCGAAAGCAGCUCUCUGGUCUGUAACUGACGCUGAGGUUCGAAAACGUGGGUAGCAAACAGGAUUAGAUACCCUUGUAGUC
rnacentral:rRNA from 1 species